rnacentral:lncRNA from 1 species
GACAAUACCCGGUACCAUUUCCCUUGACUGCACUAGUGAUAUAUAUAUAUAUAUGAGCAUGUAUAUUGUAGUGUGUUUGUGUGUCUGUGUGUCUAUAUCUCUAUGUUUCUAUGUAUUUAUGCGUUUGUGUCUUUUUUUGUAUGUAUGUGCCUAUGUGUCUUUGUAUGAUUGUGUUUGGGUGUAUGUGUUUGUAUAUGUGUAUGUGUGUGUGUGUGUGUAUGUUUGUAUGUGUGUGUUUGUGUAUGAGUAUAUGUUUUUAUGUCUGCGUGUGUUUGUGUGAUUCUAUGUGUAUUUACGAGUCUGUGUGUGUCUCUCCAUGUGUGUGUCUGUGUCUGUGUGUGUCUAUGCCUGUGCGUGUGUGUCUUUGUCUUUGGGUUUAUAUCUGUAUGUUCACAACUUGGCACGACUUCAAUUCAUUUCACUGCAAAAUUGAAGCCGUC